rnacentral:rRNA from 1 species
GACGAACGCUGGCGGCGUGCUUAACACAUGCAAGUCGAACGGUGAAGCUCCAGCUUUCUGGAGUGGAUCAGUGGCGAACGGGUGAGUAACACGUGAGCAACCUGCCCCUGACUCUGGAAUAAGCGCUGGAAACGGCGUCUAAUACUGGAUACGAGAAGGGUCCGCAUGGGCUCUCUCUGGAAAAUUUUGUGGUUGGGGAUGGGCUCGCGGCCUAUCAGCUUGUUGGUGAGGUACUGGCUCACCAAGGCGACGACGGGUAGCCGGCCCGAGAGCGCGAACGGCCACACUGGGACUGAGAGACGGCCCAGACUCCUACGGGAGGCAGCAGUGGGGAAUAUUGCACAAUGGGCGAAAGCCUGAUGCAGCGACGCCGCGUGAGGGAUGACGGCCUUCGGGUUGUGAACCUCUUUCAGCAGGGAAGAAGCGAAAGUGACGGUAACUGCAGAAGAAGCACCGGCUAACUACGGG